rnacentral:rRNA from 1 species
UUAAAUUGAAGAGUUUGAUCAUGGCUCAGAUUGAACGCUGGCGGCAGGCCUAACACAUGCAAGUCGAACGGUAACAGGAAGAAGCUUGCUUCUUUGCUGACGAGUGGCGGACGGGUGAGUAAUGUCUGGGAAACUGCCUGAUGGAGGGGGAUAACUACUGGAAACGGUAGCUAAUACCGCAUAACGUCGCAAGACCAAAGAGGGGGACCUUCGGGCCUCUUGCCAUCGGAUGUGCCCAGAUGGGAUUAGCUUGUUGGUGGGGUAACGGCUCACCAAGGCGACGAUCCCUAGCUGGUCUGAGAGGAUGACCAGCCACACUGGAACUGAGACACGGUCCAGACUCCUACGGGAGGCAGCAGUGGGGAAUAUUGCACAAUGGGCGCAAGCCUGAUGCAGCCAUGCCGCGUGUAUGAAGAAGGCCUUCGGGUUGUAAAGUACUUUCAGCGGGGAGGAAGGGAGUAAAGU